AGCAGCCGCGGUAAUUCCAGCUCCAAUAGCGUAUAUUAAAGUUGUUGCAGUUAAAAAGCUCGUAGUUGAAUUUCGGGAUUGACACAUCGGUCGUGCCUUAAGGGGUAUGAACUGGUGUAGUCAAUUUCUCACCUUCUGGAGAACCGCGAUGUCCUUAAUUGGGUGCCGCGAGGAACCAGGACCUUUACUUUGAAAAAAUUAGAGUGUUUAAAGCAGGCAUUUUUGCUUGAAUACAUUAGCAUGGAAUAAUAAAAUAGGACGGCAUGAUUCUAUUUUGUUGGUUUCUAGGAUCACCGUAAUGAUUAAUAGGGAUAGUUGGGGGCAUUAGUAUUCAAUUGUCAGAGGUGAAAUUCUUGGAUUUAUUGAAGACUAACUACUGCGAAAGCAUUUGCCAAGGAUGUUUUCAUUAAUCAAGAACGAAAGUUAGGGGAUCGAAGACGAUCAGAUACC
rnacentral:rRNA from 1 species